GUAAGAUAUAAUCACACUUGAAAUAUAGGGACUAAAGAAUAAUUUAUUCUACCUUCAUCAAAUCUCUCGAAUAUUUUUUUUUAUGGCACUGAAUAAUUCCAUUAUCAUAUUUCCAUCGGAAAUAGUAAGAAGAGAAGAAAAAUGGCUUCUUCCUUUUCUUCUCCCAAACUGAUUCAUGGGUUUCAUGGUCCAAAUAGUUGCAGUUGCAUACCUCAUUUUCACUCUAUCAAACUUGGCAGCAACCGCUCUCAAACCCCUCUCAGUUUCAGAAAUGCCGCAAGAUUGCAGUUAAGGACAAGGUUAUAUACUGUGUUUGCUUCAAACUCCAGCCCUUCUGAUGGAGAUUCCAGCGAAGAGAAAUCCGGCGGGACAAUAUCCAGCGAUGAUGCCCAAGGUCCUCCAUUCCUAACUAUUUUGGCAGGAUUCCUAGUUUUUUCCCUCUUAUGUUGGGUUUUUGGGUCUAUCAUCAUGUGGCUGUUUGGUCUAAUUGUUAAGGUGCCGCUUUCCAAGUAGAUCGAAUAUUGUACUGUUCAUUUUCGGAGUAGAAGCUUGACCUCUACUCAACAAGGACACAAGAAACCACGUAUGUCAGAUGUCUGGACAUGUAAAUGGAGAACUAGGUUGACCCAAAAAAGUUUGUACUUGUAACUGCAAGUCUGCAAUCACUCCACCUGGAUUCAAACAA